ACCUAAGUUUUUAAAAAUCGUGUUCUUAAUACUUGGCUUCAUUUUAAUGAAACUUAUACUAUUGCUUGACGCAAUACGGGCCUUCCUUCAGUGCCAUCAAGAUAAGUUAACGUGAAGUCGUCUUAGUAAGUAAUCUAAAAGAAAAAUUCGUUGAAAAUUAAAAACCGUUUGUCUGCUUGUUGAUGGAAUACUUAAAUCAAGAAAUAAACUUCACUAAAUUGAUUUUACAUAUUAGAUGGGGAUCAUCGGAGCCCUCAAUUUUUUUACACUAAGAGCGUGCUAAAUUUUAUUGAGUAAUUAAUAAAAAAACAAUUUUCUUUUUAUACCUUGACUAUCUAAUAUAUCCUAAUAUUACGGAAACGGAAACUAAAUAUACGGAAAUGUAAAUCCAGUACAGUUAAGGUUUUUACUUUCUGCUAUGCAAUAAGGGAAUUAAAACACUGUGAUUAUUUGAGCUACCUCAGGAUCUAUUUCAAACAGCUAAGAUCACUUACUGUAAUGAAAAAAGCCAAAAAGUAUAAACGAAAAUAAGAAGGAUCCUAAAAUUGUUCAGAAGCUAAACUAUUUAUGGCUCACCAUGUUGUAUCAAACGUCUACUUUAGUGAAUAGAAAGCAAUUGUCAUUAUUAUUGUGGAGUUCAGAUUACUCGGAUACUUUUAUCUCUAGUAAUAUAUAGUUGAACUGCGAUUUGACACACGAAAAUUAUGAAAGAGCAGUACAUAUGUAUGUAUGUAUUUACAUAAUAUAUGUACAUAAAAAUGUCUGGUAUAUGUACCCAGUAUAUAUAAACAUAUAAAUACAUAUAUAUGUACAUAUUAAAGUUUACUCUUUCACUGGAAAAAAGUCAGUUAUUUGUGACUGACGACCGGAUUUCUUAUUUUGGUUUUCAACAAAAGCUUCAAUUUUAUUUAAAUAAUCAUAGAGGGAAUCGGUUGUGUAUUCACUGGUUUUCAAAUAGGAAUGCAAGACAAUCAACGAAUUUUCAACCAAUUCAUUUGAAGGUGGUUGCUGAGAAUCAUCUUCCAAUUCCUCCUUCGCAGUCAUUUUCGAUGUUUAACUGUACCGAUUCGGAUCUGCGAAAUUCGAUAAUAUCUUCAUCAGUAUGAAACUCUGAAGUAACAAUAUCCUCAUCCACAUAUAUAAAAUCGUUGAUGUUGCUACCUUCUGCUAUACCUCUAAUGUUUGUCUAAGCUUUAAACUCAAUUUCUAUUUGGAUUUCGUCUUCACACUUUUCUUUCAGGCGUUCACUUAGGAAAAUCAAGGGAAUCUCAUCUUCUUCCCAUUCAGAAUACUGACCAAAACCGGCUUUUUUAAAACAAUUGGAAAUUGUUUCAGGCUUCCAUGCGAUAGUUACAUCGUCAAUACAAUCCAUUAGUGUAAUGUUAUUGUUUUUGUUUUCUUCGAAACGGUCCAUUGCGAUGAUGACUGCAUGUUUAUUUUUCAAAAUUGUAGACACUGUACUUGCCGAAAUCCCAUACUUCACAGCUACAUCUUUAUUUUUUGAGUCACUUUCCACUUCUUUUAUAACCUUGAAUUUUUGAUCAACAGACAAAGCUUUUAAAGUACGUUUCGAUGACAUAUCAACAAAUGCAAAAAUCCAAAAAUGUCUUUAAUAUAAUGUGUAAAUUGAAUAGAGACAGCAUUUUUCACUUAGUAUUAACCAGUAAGUCAUACAAGUGAACUUAGCAAGAACAGAAACUGAACUGUUUGCAUAGAUACGUUAAAAAGACAGGUUAAGAUCGGUCGUAAUUAUUGGGUCCCCCGAGAAAAUUCGACUUAUCGAAGUUGGCACCAAAUGUCUCGUUCGAGUGAUCAAGAUAUUCGAAUAAUCAAAGUUCGAGUAAUCAAGAGAAACUAACACACAUUUCCUAUUUUUGACGCUAUUGCCAACCAAUUUGGUUCGACUUAUCAAAAAUUCGAGUUAUCGAAGUUCGACUUAUCGAAGUAUUAUUCAUAGAAAAUUACGCACCCAAACAAAAAGAAAGCUCCCUGAAGAUAAUCUUGGUCAAAACACAAAACAUCAUGUAGAAGAAAUACAGAAAAAGUAUGUACGAUAAAGCAGAAACUGAAUUAAUAUCAAAGCAAUUUCUUAAAAUCACUACAGGAAUAAGUGAAAAGUUUCAUUCAUUUUUCUUUUAUUUAUAAGAAUGAUAUUUUCGAAAAUUUUUGUAGGUAAGUUCCUCCACAGAAUCAAAAUUUGUAGGAACAAAUUGUGUAAUCUUUUUUCAACUUAUAUGUUUAACUUGCAACCUGAGCAAAUAGCAAAUGAGUCUAGAACGUUUGUGCCCAGCGUUGCCAAAUUGUGAGCUAACUGAAGGUACUAUUUAUCUAAAAUAAGAUAAAUGUGAAGCCGUCUGGUUUACAAAAGGUAGGAGAAGAGCCCCGUCAUUAAAUAUAAAAAGAGAUAGUAAGGAAAUUGCUUUUAAGCACCAUGUAAAAUAUUUAGGAGUGGUGCUACAAAACAUUUGAAGUGGAAUAUAGCUGUGAUAAACCAAAGAAAGCAAUUAAUAUAAUGAUAUGCAACUCCCACCUAGAUUAUGGCUCCAUUUUCCAAUAACAAGACUGCACUUAACAAGCUUAACGUGAUCCAUUUUGAAGGUUUGAGAAUAGCGCUGAGAUGUAUGAGGUCAACCCCAACGAAUGUUUAGCUGGCGGAAGCAUUGGAACUGGACCUAGAUACAAGGAGGAGAAAACUGGCAGUGUCCUUUCUGGCUGGAGUCCUAGUCAUUGCGGACCACCCUUUAACAGACCUCAUAGAUAAUCUCCGAAAUUACUGUAGUAGAUGUUAGUCUUGCCUGUUUGUCUGUGGUUUUUGUGAGCUCUGAACCUGCCUACUAACGGACCCUGUCUCCUUAACAACGUUAGAUGCCUCUUAAAUAGAAACAGAAGUCUGAAAAGUAAACUUCCCCAGGAGAAGAUUCUCGAUUAUCUGGGCUAGUUCUAAAUAGAGCUGGCAAAUUGCCUAGUAGCGGCGCCAACCCCAAAAGAAGAAGAAGAUCUAAAAUAAGUGUAGAGGUUCGGGCCAACCUAUUGACCUCUAGGAUAAGCUACAGGAAAAUGAAAUUUUUGUCGGCCCAGGCGAUAGUGUAGGAUUCUUGGUUUUACUUCUAAAUCUGUCAAAAUAACUCUAUGUACACUAGGAAACGUUGGUCCUCCGGAGCUGACCAACUCCUUUUAUUCUACGAGGUCACCAAUAACCCUUUACAUUUAUAUAUGUACUAUUUGGCAGACUUGUUAUCAGUUCAGAAGAAUACGGUCUAAAGGAUAGCACAUAGAUCCUUAGAAAUACUUAAGGAAGUUGCUCAGAACUCUGAACUGACCUGAACAUAAAAGGUAGUACAACGGAAACGGAAUAGACAUCCUAAUUUAUCACUCUUAUAUCUAGUUGUUUUUAUGGUGAAAAUAGGCAAACAAUUCUUCUCUCAUUUCCUUCUUUGAUUUUUGCUACAUGUGUGCUAAAUGUCAUCAAAAAAACUUUCCGCGGAAAAAACAUAACAUUAAAAUAGAACGUUAAAUGAAUAUGUUAUUACUGCUGGAGUUUCUGAUAUUUAUUUAUAUUUUUUAUUAUUGUGAUAGACCGCUUAGUUUGUUACAUUUAAGAUUAGAACCUUGUAUGCAGGUCAAAAGGUGGAAACUUUUGCGUGAUAGCUUUUGAAAUUUAAUAUGGUCAUGUCGAAGUCUGUGGUUUUUUCUUAGAGCUCCGAAACUUCAUAUCUUCAUAACUUCAUAACUAGCCAACCAAAAUAUUCGAUUCGAACGACUGAUUACCGCCCCAUGUAUACAAAAUCUUAUAGACAUCCUUACUCCAUGAACUUAGGGAUACAAUCUCAAAUCUAAAAACUUGUGGAUAAUAAAAUUAUGGUUCCUUCAAUUUCGCCAUAUUUGACACCGGUUUGGAUAGUCCCGAACAAAGUCGAUGCAUCUGGAAAGAAAAAGUAUGACAUGGUAGUCGACUAUCAUCGCAUUAACGAUGUCACCAUCGAAGAGAAAUACCUUCUAUCGACGAUUGAAGAAAUCUUGGACAAUCUUGCCCUUAACCUGACCCAAGGAUUGCAUCAAGUUAAAAUGGAUCUAAAAUCCAUUCAUUAACGUAAACAGUAAAUCAAGGUCAUUUUAAGGAUCUCCGGAUGCCGUUUGAUCGGAUAAAUGCACCGGCCAUCUUCCAUCUCAUGAUGGACCAAGUUCUCAUUGAAUAUCUCUACAAAUUCUGCUUUGUUUAUAUGGACGACGUCGUAAUUUUCUCUUUCUGAACAUAUCAACCAUAUUCACAUAAUUUUUGAAAAACCAGAGAAAUCGGAAAUUCUCUCUAGAGAAGUUCGAUUUUUAGGACACAUAAUAACCCCAGAAGCUGUUAAAACCAAUCGCUGUAAAAAAACAAAUUGGUGUAACCUAAUCUAAUCCCUAAAACCGAAAAGGAGGUAAAAGCAUUUCUAGGCGUGGUAGGAUAUUGCCGUAGGUUUAUUAAAGCUAUUAUGAAAAUUACCUUUCCA